GCUUCUUUAGCUCAGUUGGUACGAGCGUUCGACUGAAGUUCGAAAGGUCACCUGUUCGACCCAGGUAAGGAGCA
rnacentral:tRNA from 1 species